GUCACUCCAGACUCAGAUUCGGAAAGAAGCAAAGCAAGCGAGAGGAAAACUGGAUGUCCUGGAUCCAAAGCUCCGUAUUACCGUGGAUCUUCUCCUCUGAUCUGGAAAGCUUCACAGGCCAAAAGAGAAUUGAGAUGAAGAAGGAAAUAGAGAAUGCUGACCAAUAUUGCCAAGUGCCACCCGUAUGAGGUGCAGAAGAACACUGCAACCAGCUGAAGCCGUAUCAGACACAUGCUUCUGCUAGG